rnacentral:rRNA from 1 species
ACGUGAGGGAAGCUUGCUUCCCUUGACGACGACUGGCGCACGGGUGAGUAACGCGUAUCCAACCUUCCCAUAACUACGGGAUAACCCGUUGAAAGACGGCCUAAUACCGUAUGAUAUCGUUUGCUGACAUCAAAUAACGAUUAAAGGUUUAGCGGUUAUGGAUGGGGAUGCGUCUGAUUAGCUUGUUGGCGGGGUAACGGCCCACCAAGGCUACGAUCAGUAGGGGUUCUGAGAGGAAGGUCCCCCACAUUGGAACUGAGACACGGUCCAAACUCCUACGGGAGGCAGCAGUGAGGAAUAUUGGUCAAUGGACGAGAGUCUGAACCAGCCAAGUAGCGUGCAGGAUGACGGCCCUAUGGGUUGUAAACUGCUUUUGUUUGGGAAUAAUCGACAUUACGUGUAAUGUUUUGCAUGUACCAUUCGAAUAAGGACCGGCUAAUUCCGUGCCAGC